GAUGAACGCUGGCGGCGUGCCUAAUACAUGCAAGUCGAGCGAACAGACGAGGAGCUUGCUCCUCUGACGUUAGCGGCGGGCGGGUGAGUCACACGUGGAAAACCUACCUAUAAGACUGGGAUAACUUCGGGAAACCGGAGCUAAUACCGGAUAAUAUAUUGCACCGCAUGGUUCAAUAGUGAAAGACGGUUUUGCUGUCACUUAUAGAUGGAUCCGCGCCGCAUUGGCUAGUUGGUAAGGUAACGGCUUACCAAGGCAACGAUGCGUAGCCGACCUGAGAGGGUGAUAGGCCACACGGGAACUGGGACACGGUCCAUACUCCUACGGGAGGCAGCAGAAGGGAAUCUUCCGCAAUGGUCGAAAGCCUGACGGAGCAACGCCGCGUGUGUGAUGAAGGUCUUCGGAUCGUAAAACUCUGUUAUUAGGGAAGAACAAAUGUGGAAGUAACUAUGCACGUCUUGACGGUACCUAAUCAGAAAGCCACGGCUAACUACGUG
rnacentral:rRNA from 1 species